rnacentral:rRNA from 1 species
GGCCUCAAAUACUGUGUGAC